GCAUAUUGGCAGCUGACGCUGGUUCAAUAUUUGCACCAAGAAGCAUGCCACGCAUACCCUCUGUUGUAAGACUGGUACCCAGGUGACCGACAGCCAUGGCCACAUUCAGCUGUGCAGCUCUUCGUCCCCUGCUAGAUCUUCUCACCUCUUCGUAAAGCUUUUCUCGGUGACUGGUAUAGUGGCACUUCUUACAUCAAAUGGAAAGGAUCCAUGCCAGGCAUCGUUUUUCCUCCCCAUGCUGAUUCCAGUCCAGUGGACCAUUACAGUCUGGAAACUUCUAGCUGCCUGGUCUUAUAAGAGAAACUUCAUUCUUUGAUGACUGAUGGAAAAGCCUCAUCACCCCACAGUGGCCACACUGCUUAAGAACCCCUUAUCUUAAUCACCAGCCAUUAAUCAGUGAUCACUGUUAUCAAGGCUCCAAGGUGCACAUGAUGCAACUUCCUUGAUGGUGUGUAGGCUGUUUGUCAACAUGUGAAUCCAACGUGCAUUUCGGGGUAGAUUGUACAAUUUAUCAGAAGAGGAAUUCAAGGCUCUUGGGGCUGAUGUUCUCGUUAAACACUGACAUCCACACACAAAUAAGAGGAAACAGUACAACAUACUCAAAAUGGGUAGAUACAAAUAAAUCCUAUGGGAGUAAUAUUUUAAAUUCCUAAGGGAUUUUUUUUAAAACUAAGAUUAUGAAAUUAAGAAGAAGA